rnacentral:rRNA from 1 species
UGGGGAAUAUUGGACAAUGGACCGAAAGUCUGAUCCAGCAAUCCUGUGUGCACGAUGAAGGUCUUCGGAUUGUAAAGUGCUUUCAGUUGGGAAGAAGAAAGUGACGGUACCAACAGAAGAAGCGACGGCUAAAUAUGUGCCAGCAGCCGCGGUAAUACAUAUGUCGCAAGCGUUAUCCGGAUUUAUUGGGCGUAAAGCGCGUCUAGGCGGUUUAUUAAGUUCGAUGUGAAAAUGCGGGGCUCAACUCCGUAUUGCGUUGAAAACUGGUAGACUAGAGUACUGGAGAGGUGGGCGGAACUACAAGUGUAGAGGUGGAAUUCGUAGAUAUUUGUAGGAAUGCCGAUGGAGAAGUCAGCUCACUGGACAGAUACUGACGCUAAAGCGCGAAAGCGUGGGGAGC